rnacentral:rRNA from 1 species
AUAUCAAUAAGCGGAGGAAAAGAAACCAACAGGGAUUGCCUUAGUAACGGCGAGUGAAGCGGCAACAGCUCAAAUUUGAAAUCUGCCUCUAGGCCGAGUUGUAAUUUGUAGAAGAUGCUUCGGGUGUGGCACCGGUCUAAGUUCCUUGGAACAGGACGUCAUAGAGGGUGAGAAUCCCGUACGUGACUGGCCGCCUUCGCCCGUGUGAAGCUCUUUCGACGAGUCGAGUUGUUUGGGAAUGCAGCUCAAAAUGGGUGGUAUAUUUCAUCUAAAGCUAAAUAUUGGCCAGAGACCGAUAGCGCACAAGUAGAGUGAUCGAAAGAUGAAAAGCACUUUGGAAAGAGAGUUAAACAGUACGUGAAAUUGUUGAAAGGGAAGCGCUUGCGACCAGACGUGCGCCGGGGUGCUCAGCGGGCGUUCUCGCCCGUGCACUCGCCCCGGCGCAGGCCAGCGUCGGUUUGGGUGGGGGGAUAAAGGCGUCUGGAAUGUGGCUCCUCCGGGAGUGUUAUAGCCAGGCGUGCCAUGCCUCCGCCUAGACCGAGGUACGCGUUCUGCAAGGACGCUGGCGUAAUGGUCUCCAGCGA